UACGAAGGGGGCUAGCGUUGUUCGGAAUCACUGGGCGUAAAGCGCACGCAGGCGGAUUGAUAAGUCGGGGGUGAAAUCCCGGGGCUCAACCUCGGAAUUGCCUUCGAUACUGUCUGUCUUGAGUCCGGGAGAGGUGAGUGGAAUUCCUAGUGUAGAGGUGAAAUUCGUAGAUAUUAGGAAGAACACCAGUGGCGAAGGCGGCUCACUGGACAUGUAUUGACGCUGAGGUGCGAAAGCGUGGGGAGCAAACAGG
rnacentral:rRNA from 1 species